CAAAGGAUAGUUUAUAAAAAUUUUAAUUUUGGAGAUUAAAGAUAAAGGUUACUUUUCCUUUGA
rnacentral:tRNA from 1 species